ACGAAGGUCCCGAGCGUUAUCCGGAUUUAUUGGGUUUAAAGGGUGCGUAGGUGGGCAGGUAAGUCAGCGGUGAAAUCCCCGAGCUUAACUUGGGAACUGCCAUUGAUACUAUCUGUCUUGAAUACCUUGGAGGUGAGCGGAAUAUGUCAUGUAGCGGUGAAAUGCUUAGAUAUGACAUAGAACACCAAUUGCGAAGGCAGCUCACUACACGGUCAUUGACACUGAGGCACGAAAGCGUGGGGAUCAAACAGGA
rnacentral:rRNA from 1 species